GAUGAACGCUGGCGGCGUGCCUAAUACAUGCAAGUCGAGCGAACAGACGAGGAGCUUGCUCCUCUGACGUUAGCGGCGGACGGGUGAGUAACACGUGGAUAACCUACCUAUAAGACUGGGAUAACUUCGGGAAACCGGAGCUAAUACCGGAUAACAUGUUGAACCGCAUGGUUCAACAGUGAAAGACGGUCUUGCUGUCACUUAUAGAUGGAUCCGCGCCGCAUUAGCUAGUUGGUAAGGUAACGGCUUACCAAGGCAACGAUGCGUAGUCGACCUGAGAGGGUGAUCGGCCACACUGGAACUGAGACACGGUCCAGACUCCUACGGGAGGCAGCAGUAGGGAAUCUUCCGCAAUGGGCGAAAGCCUGACGGAGCAACGCCGCGUGAGUGAAGAAGGUCUUCGGAUCGUAAAACUCUGUUAUUAGGGAAGAACAAAUGUGUAAGUAACUAUGCACGUCUUGACGGUACCUAAUCAGAAAGCCACGGCUAACUACGUG
rnacentral:rRNA from 1 species